rnacentral:rRNA from 1 species
ACGCACGCUGGCGGCGUGCUUCACACAUGCACGUCGAACGGAAAGGCCCUGCUUUUGUGGGGUGCUCGAGUGGCGAACGGGUGAGUAACACGUGAGUAACCUGCCCUUGACUUUGGGAUAACUUCAGGAAACUGGGGCUAAUACCGGAUAGGAGCUCCUGCUGCAUGGUGGGGGUUGGAAAGUUUCGGCGGUUGGGGAUGGACUCGCGGCUUAUCAGCUUGUUGGUGGGGUAGUGGCUUACCAAGGCUUUGACGGGUAGCCGGCCUGAGAGGGUGACCGGCCACAUUGGGACUGAGAUACGGCCCAGACUCCUACGGGAGGCAGCAGUGGGGAAUAUUGCACAAUGGGCGGAAGCCUGAUGCAGCAACGCCGCGUGCGGGAUGACGGCCUUCGGGUUGUAAACCGCUUUCGCCUGUGGCGUAGCGUGAGUGACGGUAAUGGGUAAAGAAGCACCGGCUAACUACGUG